rnacentral:rRNA from 1 species
UACGUAGGGGGCAAGCGUUGUCCGGAUUUAUUGGGCGUAAAGAGCGUGUAGGCGGCCUGACAAGUCUGCUGUGAAAACUCGAGGCUCAACCUCGAGCUGUCGGUGGAAACUGUCUGGCUAGAGUCCGGAAGAGGAGAGUGGAAUUCCUGGUGUAGCGGUGAAAUGCGCAGAUAUCAGGAAGAACACCUAUGGCGAAGGCAGCUCUCUGGGACGGUACUGACGCUGAGACGCGAAAGCGUGGGGGAGCGAACAGG